CUUGUGCUACAGGCCUUGUCAGCAAAGACAGAAACAGAAAACAUUGCACGAUAGAGCAAUGACCAGAGCAACAACAUCACAUUAACCAGGGUCUGUAGAAAGUGCAAAGACAAACUUCCCAAACAAACUGCAGGAUGCAAGACACCAUCAAGUUCCCUUUCAGCCCAGGAAUGAGAAAUCCCAAGAUAUUUACUCCCAGACCUCCCUUCUUCAGGUUCCUGGCUGCCACUUGAAUCUUUAUGAAGAAGGUGAAAACUACAGUCUCCAUUGACGUACAGUUGUGUUCCAUUGGAUGUCUUUUAACUGCAUCAGGACCCAUGGCCAUAACUGCACUUACAUUAAUUUUGCAACAAAAGAUCUUUCUGAAAUCAAUUUACCAUGUGAAUCUUCAGUGAGUGUGGUAACUGUACCUGCAAAUAAAGAGUUUGAGUUCGUAAAGCUA